CCCUUAGAGUUUGAUCCUGGCUCAGGAUGAACGCUAGCGGCAGGCCUAAUACAUGCAAGUCGAACGAGGCUUGGUAGCAAUAUCAAGCUUAGUGGCGCACGGGUGCGUAACGCGUAUGCAAUCUACCCUUAACUGGGGGAUAGCCCGGGGAAACCCGGAUUAAUACCCCAUAGUAUAUUUGACUGGCAUCAGUUGAUUAUUAAAGUUUCGACGGUUAAGGAUGAGCAUGCGUCUGAUUAGCUAGUUGGUGAGGUAAUGGCUCACCAAGGCGACGAUCAGUAGGGGACCUGAGAGGGUGAUCCCCCACACUGGUACUGAGAUACGGACCAGACUCCUACGGGAGGCAGCAGUAGGGAAUAUUGGGCAAUGGUCGAGAGACUGACCCAGCCAUGCCGCGUGAAGGAAGAAGGCUUUCUGAGUUGUAAACUUCUUUUAUCUGAGAAAAAACGAUCCCUGCGGGGAGCAUUGAUGGUAUCAGAUGAAUAAGCACCGGCUAACUCCGUGCCAGCAGCCGCGGUAAUACGGAGGGUGCAAGCGUUGUCCGGAUUUAUUGGGUUUAAAGGGUGCGUAGGUGGCCUAUUAAGUCAGUGUUUAAAGUCUGCAGCUUAACUGUAGGAAUGGCAUUGAUACUGAUAGGCUUGAGUAAAGUUGAGGUAGGCGGAAUUGAAGGUGUAGCGGUGAAAUGCAUAGAUAUCUUCAAGAACACCGAUUGCGAAGCAGCUUACUAAGCUUUAACUGACACUGAGGCACGAAAGCGUGGGGAUCAA
rnacentral:rRNA from 1 species